rfam:Pseudogymnoascus pannorum VKM F-4515 (FW-2607) contig_2394, whole genome shotgun sequence.
GCUCUCGUAGCUCAGUUGGUAGAGCGCGGCACUAGUAUCUUUACCACAGUGCAUAUGCCGAGGUCUACGGUUCAAAUCCGUACGGGAGCA